GCGCCAGUAGCUCAGUUGGAUAGAGCAACGGACUUCUAAUCCGUAGGUCGGGGGUUCGAGCCCCUCCUGGCGCGCCA
rnacentral:tRNA from 1 species